rnacentral:rRNA from 1 species
AUUGAACGCUGGCGGCAUGCCUUACACAUGCAAGUCGAACGGUAGAGUAGCAAUACUCGAGAGUGGCGAACGGGUGAGUAACAUAUCGGAACGUGCCCAAUCGUGGGGGAUAACGUAGAGAAAUUUACGCUAAUACCGCAUACGAUCUAAGGAUGAAAGCGGGGGAUCGCAAGACCUCGCGCGAUUGGAGCGGCUGAUAUCAGAUUAGGUUGUUGGUGAGGUAAAAGCUCACCAAGCCGACGAUCUGUAGCUGGUUUGAGAGAACGACCAGCCACACUGGGACUGAGACACGGCCCAGACUCCUACGGGAGGCAGCAGUGGGGGAAUUUUUGGGACAAUGGGCGAAAGCCUGAUCCAGCAAUGCCGCGUGCAGGAUGAAGGCCCUCGGGUUGUAAACUGCUUUUGUACGGAACGAAAGGUUUGUCUUAAUACGAUGAGCUCAUGACGGUACCGUAAGAAUAAGCACCGGCUAACUACGUGCCAGCAG